rnacentral:rRNA from 1 species
UACAGAGGUCCCGAGCGUUGUCCGGAAUUAUUGGGCGUAAAGGGCUCGUAGGCGGUUUGUCGCGUCGGGAGUGAAAACCUACAGCUUAACUGUGGGCUUGCUUUCGAUACGGGCAGACUUGAGGCAUGCAGGGGAGAACGGAAUUCCUGGUGUAGCGGUGAAAUGCGCAGAUAUCAGGAGGAACACCGGUGGCGAAGGCGGUUCUCUGGGCAUGUUCUGACGCUGAGGAGCGAAAGUGUGGGGAGCGAACAGG